CCCAGCCACAGAUCCCUGCGUGGAGGGACAGGCUGUGCCACCUUCCUGCUGCUCCAGGACUGACCUGGGACAGGCUGAAAUCCUGAAAAUGGGCUUUAGGCCAGGGCUCUGUUUUUAAAGAUGAAAUUACAAUAGGAAGGAUGGUCUCACCUGAGCAGGUAAAUUAACUUUUCUUCACCUCCGCUUCCCGAGAAAUCAGCUUUGCCUGGGGUUUGCAGGAGCUCAGCGUGGUGAAGGGGAAUCAACCCUUCUCUGUCCUUCCUGCACUGUGCUCAGAGCCACCACUAGAAAGAGUGAGUGACCAAUGCAGAGGCCAUUUGGGGUUUUUUCUGGGAUGAUGUGGCUUCAGUGGCCUUCAGCACGUCCACUGCAUUUCCAAGGCACAGCAUGAAUCACAGUGAUUUGCUCAGGCAGGAACUGCAGCCAUAAAAUGGCAUGGCCUCUCUGGGUACAGCUCCACUGGGCUGAUGAAAUUAUCCUGGACUUCCACCAAACCUAAAAGGAGAAGAACAACCUGUGUGCUCUCCAGGUGAAACCAGAUCCAUCUGGACAUCUUGGCAAGGGAAAAAAUGCAGCAUUAGCAAAAGAGAUUUUUGAAGAAGAUGUUCCAACCUAAAUUCAACCCACAAGAGACAUUCAGGCACUUGGAAAUGCUAUGGAUUUGUAAUGUCCUCGCAGAACCUGUUGUUAACCAUUGAACUGGCAGGUAAACUGAGGCAGAGAAUGGCUAGGUAAUGCAACUGUGUGACAAAACCUGUCAGAAGAUGAAGUGCAUCCUCCUCUCUUUGCUCCAAUCCUCAAAGAAACAUCAGCCAGCCAUAAUGAAACCCUGAGAUGAAGUGACCUCUCUGAUGACAGGCGAUUUUGGUUGAACUGCUUCCUCCCCAGCCUGCAGCCACGAAGGCAACGAGAGGAUUCUUCGCUAUUGUGCCCACAAAUGGAGGGGACAAAAAAAAAGGAAGAAAGAAAAAAGAAAGAAGAAGAAAGAAAAUACCUUAAUUAAAACACGAUCUGGAUUGUUUGCUGAAGCGUUUCUGGCCGCAUUCUUUAAUGCACUUGAAAUUACCCAUUUGCAUCAAUAGGCGUUAG
rnacentral:lncRNA from 1 species